rnacentral:lncRNA from 1 species
AGAAGGUUCACAAAUAAAGUCUCAAAGAUGCAGACCACGUAGCAACUAAAGUACAGAGAAGGUUCACAAAUAACGUCUCACACAGUCACACGUGCACACCAGGUAGUAGCAACUAAACCAGGUAGUAGCAACUAAGUACAGAGAAGCUUCACAUAUAAAGUCUCACACAUGCAGACCAAGUAGCAACUAAGUACAGAGAAGCUUCACAUAUAAAGUCUCACACAUGCAGACCAAGUAGCGACUAAGGUACAGAGAAGGUUCACAAAUAAAGUCCACAUGCAGACCAAGUAGCAACUAAGGUACAUAGAAGGUUCACAAAUGAAGUCUCACACAUGCAGACCAAGUAGCACCUAAGGUACAGAAGAAGGUUCACAAAUAAAGUUCCACCAAUACAGAGCACCAACAAAAAUAACCAUCACUCUGACUCAUUCCCUUUGGCAGGUGGUGCAGCAACCCUCGCCAUUCUUCGCAUAAAAGAUGGUGCCCUCAGAAAGAGUACGUAGAACAAAGCACAGACGAUAAGAAGCUGCAUCUUUCCAGAUUUUAAAGCGGCUCCAACCAAAACAAGAUAAAGCUUAUCUGUCACGAUAAACUUAAGCUUGGUGAAACGCGACUUUAGCGAGUCACUAGC